CCGUGUUUUGCUUCCGGGUUGCCUCUCGCUUAGUAUGGUGGUGUGGGAUUGCAAGUUGCACUACUUGGACGAAUGCUGCUAACGAAGGGCGUGCGUGUGCAUCUGUGUGUGGGUGUGUGCCUGUAGCCAAGGUAACCCAGGUUACUGUGACCAGGGCCGCUACUCCCCGCUGACCGUCGGAAGUCCUCCCAGUCUUAAGUCAUUCUGCUAAAGCUAAGUAGCCUCAGUAGGAUAGCCACACUAUUAAAUCCUCUCCUUGCCUCUUUACUGUCAAGUGUUUUGCUAACCCCAGUGCCUCUAUGUCUCCCUGGACAGGUGCAGUGGGUUUCACUUGAGUGACAGGCUGACCCCCAGGGGGUGUGGAGCCCCCCGCCCCGCCCACUUUUCCUUGCUGUGUGCAUAACGGUUGCCCUAUUUUGGAGUGCAGUGCUUACUUGUUUUAUGCACGUGUGGUGUGUGUCUUCUGGGCCUCUCCUGUCCCCCUCUCGGAGUCCUGUUCGCUGCGGUAAGCCCCUGCCCUGCUCCACUUAUCCCCUACUAGUUCUGGCCACUAGUCAAUCUCAGUAAGGCUCUGGCCAUCCUACCUGUUUCAUAUUGGGGUCAUAGCCCACUGGCCAACAUCGUAUGUAUCUACAGUGUGUGUUUAAUGCAUGUAUAUGUACUGGAAAUAACUGUUUGGUUGUUUGUGUGAGCGGCAACAGCCUGUGCUGGCAUUUCCCUGUACUUUUAUUCCUGUUUGUAUUCCCGUGAAUAAAUUAUAUUUUUCUGGAACCCAUGUCUCUGCCCUAAGAGUGUGACGAACUUGUGUUUGCCUUGUUAGAACGAAAGCAAAGCUCAGUCUAUUUUAGUCCUAGGGUGACUACCUAGGUGGCGUAGUCGACAUUUAAAUUUAUCCUAUCAAAUGACCUCGCCACUGUCACAAUUGCAAGGUUGUUAUCUAGUUAGAUACCUAUCACCUCCUUACCAUGUGUAGUUUUACAUUUCCUUGUAAAUCGCUUUGAAUAAAAGCAUCUGCUAAAUGACAAUGUAUUAAUAAGAAAUUCAAUAAAUUGAAGCAGUGAAAAGAAAUUGAGUUUCUCUUCUUAUGAGUCCACCUUAAUCAUUUUCUACAAUAAUUAUAUGCUAUGGUGUACUAAUAACACUGAGUGCUUUGUUCUCCGCAUUGCCGACACUACAAAAAUGUACCACUCACAAAAAAGCAUAAGAUGGUCAAUGCUCGGCUGUGGUGUUUGCAAUAAAUGCAUCGAGAAGGUCUCGUAAAUAAAUUAUUCCUUGUCGGCUGAAUCGGUAGCGCUCAUACAAUAACUCAUCAUGCUGGAAUAACGGAUCUUGGCGAUCACGAAGAACUCUCCCUAUGAAACGCUAAUCUAACUAAUAUCGCAACUUUUGUCAAUGGGAUCUCUCCUUUUUCCGGGGGUCUGGCAAGCUUAUCCAGCUUCACUUAAAUUAGCCUGCGCUGGAGCAGGUUCAAGUUUAUUGAUGUGUUGCUAUGGUGAUUUAGCCAAAGUUGCUUCGACGAACAGAAAAGAGGGUCUUAUAUUCUCUCAUCCUGAUAAUGAUCUCGGUAACUCGCUAAACGAGGUACGACGAACAGGGCCAAGGUGCAAUUUAUAUACAGUUUAUAUCAUCUUCACUUCAGUGGUUUUUCCUUAAUAUAAAUGA
ensembl:lncRNA